rnacentral:rRNA from 1 species
GACGAACGCUGGCGGCGUGCCUAAUACAUGAAAGUAGAACGCAGUUGCGAACGGGUGAGUAACGCGUAGGUAAUUGCCUCAUAGCGGGGGAUAACUAUUGGAAACGAUAGCUAAUACCGCAUACUGUGAGAUGGACCUGCGUUGUAUUAGCUAGUUGGUGAGGUAAAGGCUCACCAAGGCGACGAUACAUAGCCGACCUGAGAGGUUCCUCUUCCCCUCUGGGACUGAGACACGGCCCAUACUCCUACUGUCUCCUCCCGUCUCCCUUCUUCUACCCUCACCUUAAGUCUUACCUUUCAACGCCGCGUGAGUGAAGCAUCUUUUCUUAUCAUCCCUCUCUGUUGUUAGAGAAGCGGUAACUAACCAGAAAGGGACGGCUAACUACGUGCCAGCAGCCGCGGUAAUAC